UAAUAAAUAAUAAACUUAGUAGACAUAUAACAAAAGUAAUAUCUUUAUCCUAUAUUCGAUUAUGGAUGUAAUGGUACCUGUUGAUAAGCAUGUGCUAAAUCAAUUUUAGAGAAUUGUUCUCCCCCACUCAAUUUUUCUAAUAAAUCAUCCAUUCGAGGCAAUGGAUAUUUAUCGACUAUCAAAUGGGGAUUUAUUGUUAUUUUAUAAUCGCCACAUAACCUAACAGUGUUAUCUAUUUUAUAGGAUGCGUACUACGAGUGUUGCCCACGGACUAAACUCUACUGAAUAAAUUAUUUUAUUACUCAGAAGCUUAUUAAUUUCUUCAUCAUCUUUCUUCUUCAAUGCAAAGGUUGUUCUCACCUGAAAUAGGAGAAUCAUGGAUUGUCCGAAGGUUUUGAAGUUGUAAACGUCGUCUAGGCCACUUUUGUCCUUGACGUGCAUGAAGAAUGACAUCCCGAAUAUAGCAAAAAUGAACAUGACCAAAAAUAGCAGCAAACAGAUGUUGAAGAGCGCAGGCAGUGACAUGGCGAGUGCAAAAAGCAACGUGCGGAUUCCUUUAGCUCCUUUGACCAAACGAAGAACUCUCCCCACUUUUGCCACUCUUACCACCCUCAGUAAGUGCCUUAUCCAAAUCCUUGUCCAUAUUGUGAUGAUCUAAGGCCAUGAACAGGGUGUUCACCACGAUGCACAGGGUGAUGAAGAGUUCGACGAACGGAUCGAAUACAAUAAGGGCUAUGAACUUUUGAAAAACCAACCAGGGCUCGCAACAAUCCCAUACGCAAAAUAUAUCAAUGACUUUCAUUAUAAAUGCCAAUAC